CGUGGAACCAUAAAGAUCCUAUGUGGAACCAUAAAGAUACCCUGUGGAACCAUAAAUAUACUACGUGGAACCAUAAAUGCACUACGUGAAACCAUAAAAAUUCUACUUAGAACCAUAGAUAUUACGUGGAACCAUAGAUACUAUGUAGAUACAUAAAGAUGCUAUGUGGAACCAUAAAGAUACUACGUGGAACCAUAAAGAUGCUAUGUGGAACCAUAAAAAUACCAGGUGGAACCAUAUCCCAUUUAGACAGCUGUUUUUUUCUAUCAUUUGUGCCACCCGUCCUUAAGCUGCUGAAUAAUGUGACAUAGAACAAUGUGCAAUAAAUUUUAGAGCACUUUACUUGCCAUCUUGGUUGAAUAGGCCUACAUGUAAUUAACAUAAGUACUACACCGUGUAUCUCAGGUUCUUUUAGAAGUUUUUUGUGAUGUGUCCCUUCAGGGACAAUAAAGUUUAACCUAAACUAUAUAAGGACAUUUCUAACACAUCACUAAAAAGUAGUGACACUCUUUCUUUUCAUUGCCAUUAAAAUGUCUUUGAUGACACUUUUAAUUAGACCAGUUGCCACACAUUUGUGACAGAAUGUUUCUUUUGAGGGCUCACUCAAAAACAGCAUCUGUCUGUCAGCAUCUGGGGUGGAGAAAAUAGAGGAAUUAAUUCAGAUUAAAGGUUUAGUUCGUUUAAAGAAGAGACAGGGUACAAGGGUUAGUUUCAGUAGUGGAGUAGAAUCAGCUAUUGAUCUUAUGUUGAUGUCCAAUGAAUCAGCUGGCGGCAGCAACUGAGAGGAGCUAAAUGACAAUAUUAUUGGAAGUGAUCAUUAUCCAACCGCAAUCAGUUCUGAGCUGAAUUUUAUGGUUGAACUUUACGAGGUUACAAGAUGGACUCUAGGUGAGGCAGACUGGAGAUCAUUUACCAGUUCUUGUGAUGAAGAGUUUAAUAAGAUCGUCAUGUCAGGAAAAAUUAAUGAAAGCUUUAUUAAAUACAACAACAAACUGGACUCAGCACAAGAAUAUAAAUGUAACAAGGAUACAGAAGGUGGUGAUAAGAUAAUGAUCCGUCUGGCUGCCAAUUAUCAAGAAGAAGACUUCUUUCCUUCAUCCGGACCUUUACUUUGAAAGCGAGGCCCGGAAGUGUUGUUCCGGUGUGUAGCUUGACGCUAACAGGUGGGAAGAUGUCUGCUUCUUUCAGACUGUUGAAAAGCCGUUUUUCGGCUCUCUGUCCGGUUGGUUUCACUUCACAGCCGCAGAGGAAUCAUCCGGUGAGGUGUCCGGUCGGAGGACGGUGGCUGUCACACACACAGACAGGAGGAAACCUUCGACCACUGGAUGGCGUCAGAGUGUUGGACAUGACGAGAGUCCUGGCCGGUCCCUUCGCCUCCAUGAUCCUGGGAGAUCUGGGAGCUGAGGUGAUUAAAGUAGAGAGACCAGGUGCAGGUGAUGACACCAGAGCCUGGGCUCCUCCGUUUGUCGGCACAGAGAGCGCCUAUUUCCUCAGCAUCAACAGAAACAAGAAGAGUAUUUCUGUGGACCUGAAACAUCCCAGAGGAGCCCACAUCAUCCAGGAGCUUGCAGGAGUGUGUGACGUGCUGGUAGAGAACUACCUCCCAGGGAAGCUUCAGCAGAUGGGUUUAGGAUACGAGCAGCUGAGCAGAGUGAACCCACAACUCAUCUACUGCUCCAUAUCAGGUUACGGGCAGACCGGUCCUCAGUCUCAGAGUCCAGGCUACGACUCCAUCGCCUCGGCCGUGUCGGGGAUGAUGCACAUCACCGGGCCAGAGGACGGCGAGCCGGUGCGUCCCGGCGUCGCCAUGACAGACCUGGCGACGGGGCUGUACGCGCACGGAGCCGUCAUGGCCGCCCUGCUGCAGCGCCACAAGUCGGGGAGGGGAGUUCACAUCGACUGCAACCUGCUGUCUUCACAGGUUUCCUGUCUCAGCCAUAUUGCUGCUAACUAUCUGAACGCAGGGAAGGAGGCGAGGCGCUGGGGGACGGCCCACGAGAGCAUCGUACCUUAUCAGGGCUUCAGAACCAAAGACGGACACGUAGUCGUGGCUGCAGGCAACGACAAACAAUUUGUCAAAGUCUGUCAAGUUCUGGAGCUGACGGAGCUCACAGACGAACCAAAAUAUAAAACCAACAAGCUGAGAGUCCAAAACCGCAAACAGCUGCUGCACACGCUGUCACAGAGGUUUCUGCAGGAGAAGACCGCUGAUUGGCUGAGGAGGUUUGAGGGCUCAGGUGUUCCUGUUGGACCAAUCAACAGCAUCAAGGAAGUCUUCUCUAAUCCGCAGCCUCCGCAUGCAAAUGAAGCAGAGGAGGAGGUGUCUCCGGUCUUAUCGCCACGUGGCUGGUAGACGGAUGAUCAUCAGUGACCAGAACAAACAGCCCCAUGAUGCUUAUUUACUGAGAUGCUGCAGGUGGAAGAGGAGCUGAAGGGAGGCUGGACUCACACACGGCGGCUUUAAAACAUUUACUCAGCUUCAAACUCGGCACACAAACUGUAUGUGACCAUCGGGCAGAGCCAGAGAAAGAGGAACUGACAAAGGCGUAACUUUUUAGAGAAGUGGUGGCGACAAACGGACU